rnacentral:rRNA from 1 species
AACGGCCAUACCAUGCUGAAUAUACCGGUUCUCGUUCGAUCACCGAAGUCAAGCAUCAUUGGGCGCGGUCAGUACUUGGGUGGGUGACCACCUGGGAACCCGCGUGCCGUUA